rnacentral:lncRNA from 1 species
AUUAUUCCCUCUAUGGGUUUGAAAAAAAAAAGUUUUAUCUUUAUCACUCUUUUCAUAUAUUCCUCACUGUAAAGUUGAAAGAAGUGUCUUCCUAUUUAUGGAAUAGCAAAUUAUAUUUCUUCUUCGUAGAAUUUAAAAUGGUAUUUGCCACUAUUUUUUCCCCCUUCAAAAGAUUAAGCUUACUAAAUUGAAUAAUCCUUUUUUUUUAAACCAGUGCUUCUUGAAAAUGGACUAUAUGCCAGGACAAUCUCCAUCAUUAUUUCAUUUGAUACUUAUUAACUCAACAAGGAAACUGAGGCUCUGAGAGUCUGGCCAAAGUCACCCAACUAAUGACUACAGCUGCAUUCUAGAAGAAGACAGAUACAAAUCAGAUUAAAACAAAAGUAAAACACCAUCAAAGAAACAGGAGAAUAUGAGCUUGCUUGAUAAAGUGUGACGAUGCCAUAGAGUGACUGAGGUACCAUAGUAGGCUGGAAGGCCUCUUUGAGGAGGCGACACUGAUACCAAGCCAGGGAUGAUAAGAAGUAGCCAGGUUUUGUAAUUCUGGGAAUGAGCUUUCCAAGCAGAAAGAACAGCUAGUACAAAGGCUGAGUUUGAGAAGUGAUCACUCUCAAUUUGGAAGGAAGACAGGCUGUGUGACACUAGAAGAUUCAUCCAGUAUCACUCUUAUGUCCUUGACACAGCUGAUACUAGACAUCUACUGUCCUGGCUUCACUUGCAGAUAAACAGAUAAGUUGUGUCUUUGCAACAACCCAAGGAUUGUCACUUGUUUUAAGGGACUGGCCUCACUGUCGGGAAGAAGGAAGAACUCUUCUGGAUUUGGCUGUUCUUUAGCUAAGGAAGGCUACGGAGAAGAAACAUCCAGAAAAGAAAAACCAAAAUGCAUUCCCACACUGACCUUUGGAUGUGAGGAGCAAUGUCAUUUGCAAAGAUGGCUCUAAACCCAGCUCUCAUACACGUCCAAAGUUCAGAAAGUUACAUGAGAACAUUCCCACUGCAACCUUAUACCCAGAAUUUUAUGAGCCAAAUACAGUAAGUGCAAAUUUUGCUUCAUAAUUUAGAUCUUCUCAACCUCGUAGUUCUGAGACUCAGAAAUGGUUGUGGUUUUGUGCGUGUUCCUGACAUACAGGAAGAGGCCACGUGUGCACUUCCUAAUACAUUGCAGACUACAGUUACCAGAGGGAAUUGGUGGGGAGAUGACUGCCUAGCCAGCAUGUGAGGCCACUCUACUCAUUUCAUGUUAAAUCACAGAAUGCCCACCAACUGGAGAUGCUGAACUGUGUUAUGGAAGAAGAUACCUCUUCUGCAUCUCCUUAGGUGUGGAAAUAAUUCCUCAUCUCCAGCCUACAGAGACCAUCAUUAUAAAACAAAUUUAGCUUGCUGCUCAUAAAGUAGUUGUUAUCAUGUAUUUAUUGAGCAUAAGCUAAAUACUGGUGUAUAAAGGUGGACAAAGCAGACCUGAUUCUAGCUCUCACCAAGCUUGAAGUCUAGUGGUAGACAUAGACAGUGAGUAAGUGACAAAUGAAGUUAUAAUUAAAAGUUAUCGUAAGUGCUUAUAGAAGAAAAACUUCUAAAAGGUGACAUUUAAUCUGAGACCUGAAUGUGAUGGGUGGAAAGGCACUAGUCAAGGGGAAACUUUUAGGAAGAGGAUCCUAGGCAGUAGAAGGAGCAUCCAGUGAAGAAGAAAUAGUGAUUGCUUAGAUCCUGAGGCAACACAUAGGUCUCAGUUUUUGAGGACUCUCAAAACUGUGUUCUGGAGCCUGAUGAGUGAGAGAAAGUGUGGUUUGUGUGUUUGGAAGAGAGUUAAGGAGGGCAGACAAAUUGUAUAGGCUCUAUUGGCCUUAAACCAACUUAAGAAUUUUAAAUUUUAUUCUAGGUACAAUGAGACACUAUUGAAGUAUUUUCAA